rnacentral:rRNA from 1 species
UACGGAGGGUGCAAACGUUGCUCGGAAUUACUGGGCGUAAAGGGCGCGUAGGCGGCCGAUCAAGUCAGAUGUGAAAGCCCCGGGCUCAACCUGGGAAUAGCAUUUGGGACUGAUUGGCUAGAGUUCGGGAGAGGAGAGUGGAAUUCCCAGUGUAGAGGUGAAAUUCGUAGAUAUUGGGAAGAACACCGGUGGCGAAGGCGGCUCUCUGGACCGACACUGACGCUGAGGCGCGAAAGCGUGGGGAGCAAACAGG